GCAUUAAUGGGGUAGUGGUAACCUGGGUCGUUGCCAUGAAAUCAUCGCACUAGAUCUCUUGACUCGACCCGCCGGGGGUUCGAUUCCCCCUUAAUGCA